rnacentral:rRNA from 1 species
CCUACGGGAGGCAGCAGUGGGGAAUAUUGGGCAAUGGGCGCAAGCCUGACCCAGCAACGCCGCGUGAAGGAAGAAGGCUUUCGGGUUGUAAACUUCUUUUCUCAGGGACGAAGCAAGUGACGGUACCUGAGGAAUAAGCCACGGCUAACUACGUGCCAGCCGCCGCGGGAAUACGUAGGUGGCAAGCGUUAUCCGGAUUUACUGGGUGUAAAGGGCGUGUAGGCGGGAAAGCAAGUCAGAUGUGAAAACCAUGGGCUCAACAUGUGGCCUGCAUUUGAAACUGUUUUUCUUGAGUACUGGAGAGGCAGACGGAAUUCCUAGUGUAGCGGUGAAAUGCGUAGAUAUUAGGAGGAACACCAGUGGCGAAGGCGGUCUGCUGGACAGCAACUGACGCUGAGGCGCGAAAGCGUGGGGAGCAAACAGGAUUAGAUACCCGAGUAGUC